rnacentral:lncRNA from 1 species
GUUUUUUGAAAGAUACGAUUUAUUGUAUUCAAUCACUAAGAUCAAUAAAAAUUACUUUUUGCAGGAGUCAAACCAGAUAGUCUAAGAGCUUUAUCUGGAUCAAUCCAGACUGAGUUGCAGCCUUCCAACAAGACUGCAGACAGCUGCUGUAUCACUGCAAUGAACUACAUGUCGUCUUAACCUUGCCAAAAGAAUGAAAAAUUUCAAGCUCAUGAAACAGUGAAGCUAAAGAAAAGCUUGGAAUAAAUGAAGACAUUUAGAUCAAGUCUGCCCAUUAUUUUGCCUUCUCACAUUAACAAAAUCUUGAAGUGAAGAAGUGAAUCAAGUCUGUGAGCCAGCAGAGUAAGGCUAAGCUAUUGACUAUGGAAAGUGAUUUGAAAUAUUCCACCAAGCCCUAUCAAAUGGAUGGUAACUGCAAGAGGAUAAGCCCAUGAUAGAUAAGGUAUGGUACUCUAUAAGGAAGCCUGGGCAUACAAGUUCUGAUUGUAAUUAAAAAAAAAA